AUGCGAUCCGGCGAAAGAACCGGCAAAACCGUCAUACCCACGCACGCAAUCAACGAAAAAUCCACGCAAGCGGUGUCUCCUCCUCCCUGUUCAAACCCUAGCCGCCCCUUCCCGGCUGACGCCGCUAGCGAGCAGCGCGUAGCACAGGCACCAGCACGGCCCUUCCGCGGUCCCCCUCGACCUCGCAAUGAAGCAGUUCGUCGGCAUCGACGACAAGCCGGUGCGUCCAGUGUUGAUUCCUGUGGAUGGGUCAAUCAGGACGGAGGGCGGUGGAUCCGGGACAUAGCCAUGAAGUCUGUUCGAUGUGCGCCCAGUGUUGUCUCAAGUGCAUGGGUCGAUCCUGGACGGCGGGCGGUGGAUCAAGGACGUACAUAG
rnacentral:rRNA from 1 species